AUGACUCCAUUGUGCCUCCUGGAGCGGGCAGCACAGACGCGUGACCCGGCUCUGGGCGCCUGGGCUCCAGCUGCUGUGACCUGCAGCCUAAUGGGCCCUCGAGGUACAGCCAAGUUCGGGCCAGGCCCAGUAAAAUAUCCCAUUCAAUCCCACUGCCUCACAGGAGUAAUGAAGACAACUUGUCUACUAGCCAAAGACACUUUCCUUGUCAUCACAGGACUGGCCUCCCCACUUCCAGGGGAGGGAGGAGCGAAACACUGGACCCAGAGCAGAUUCUGCGGCAAAUCCCUGGGCGGAAGGAUCCAGCUUUGUUUUGCUGUUAGUCUGAGAAGGUGACCCCAGCUUCAAGGGCUGACAUUCAUUAAGAAUAUGGACACUGCUGACCUCCUACCUUUCACAUUCCUUCCAACUAAAGGAUCACACAGACUGUUGGAUCGAGUUGUUGGGAUUGUUUGGACAUGCACUGUAGGAGAGCACACAACAGAGGUAAUAGAAUUCGGUUUUUAGGAUCUGUAAAUUAUAUGGUUUUUAAUUCUGUAAAUUAAGCUUAAAAUGGAAAGAAAAUAAAUAGACUAGAAGCUAGGAUCAAAAUGUAGGUCCAAACUCUGUAUACAAAUGGAAAGUGUGAAAACUGGAAAAUAAACUUAUUUUGCAAUCUGUUGUACCAACUUUUAAUAUGUUAAGAUAACUGUCUCAAUCUGCUUCCAGAUCAGUGUCCCUUUGUAAAUAUACAUGAAAUUUGAGUACAAAGAGAUGAACAGCAAU
rnacentral:lncRNA from 1 species